rnacentral:rRNA from 1 species
UACGUAGGUGGCAAGCGUUGUCCGGAAUUAUUGGGCGUAAAGGGUGCGUAGGCGGUUUUUUAAGUGAGAUGUGAAAUACCUGGGCUUAACUCAGGAAUUGCAUUUCAAACUGGAAGACUAGAGUGCAGGAGAGGAAAGUGGGAUUCCCAGUGUAGCGGUGAAAUGCGUAGAGAUUAGGAAGAACACCAGUGGCGAAGGCGACUUUCUGGACUGUAACUGACGCUGAGGCUCGAAAGCGUGGGGAGCAAAC